rnacentral:rRNA from 1 species
UACGUAGGGGGGCUAGCGUUGUCCGGAAUCAUUGGGCGUAAAGAGCGUGUAGGCGGUCCGGUAAGUCCGCUGUGAAAGUCGGGGGCUCAACCCUCGAAUGCCGGUGGAUACUGUCGGGCUAGAGUGCGGAAGAGGCGAGUGGAAUUCCUGGGUGUAGCGGUGAAAUGCGCAGAUAUCAGGAGGAACACCUAUUGCGAAGGCAGCUCGCUGGGACGUAACUGACGCUGAGACGCGAAAGCGUGGGGAGCAAACAGG